GGCUCCAUAGUGUAGUGGUUAGCACGUCUGCUUUACAUGCAGAAGGUACUGGGUUCAUGCCCCAAGUGAAGCCA
rfam:Pteropus alecto contig60677, whole genome shotgun sequence.